AUUGAACGCUGGCGGCAUGCUUUACACAUGCAAGUCGAACGGCAGCGCGGGCUUCGGCCUGGCGGCGAGUGGCGAACGGGUGAGUAAAGCAUCGGAACGUGCCCAGUAGUGGGGGAUAGCCCGGCGAAAGCCGGAUUAAUACCGCAUACGACCUGAGGGUGAAAGCGGGGGACCGAAAGGCCUCGCGCUAUUGGAGCGGCCGAUGUCGGAUUAGCUAGUUGGUGGGGUAAAGGCUUACCAAGGCGACGAUCCGUAGCUGGUCUGAGAGGACGACCAGCCACACUGGGACUGAGACACGGCCCAGACUCCUACGGGAGGCAGCAGUGGGGAAUUUUGGACAAUGGGGGCAACCCUGAUCCAGCCAUGCCGCGUGCGGGAAGAAGGCCUUCGGGUUGUAAACCGCUUUUGUUCGGGAAGAAAUCCUCUGGGCUAAUACCCCGGGGGGAUGACGGUACCGGAAGAAUAAGCACCGGCUAACUACGUG
rnacentral:rRNA from 1 species